CUCAAGAGGACCCUGCAAUUGAGGCGAAGAGGCUGAGGGCGCUCAGGGCGUUUAAGAAGAGGCAGCAGGACAAGGAAGUCAACCUCAAACUGGAGCUCCAUAUCCAGCACACCAGGACGGAGAUCCAGACACUCCGGCACGAGAUGGAGGAGAGGAAGUUUCGAAUAGAAACUCUCGAGAAAGAAAUUGCAGACCUCAGCAUCAAUCAAUUCCAAGAAAACGACUAAACUCCCAUACAUGAUUUACCCUCUGGUGAUACACAACAUUCUUUGGUAAAGUUUGUGGCAGCGUUUAAAAUUCAGUGUUCAUACAUUGUAUUGUGCGAUGCCCUUGAAUGCUCCCAUUGCUCUUGUAUGCAAUCGAGAUAAUGAACUGUAAUGUUUUGAUGAAUAAAAGUCGAUUUAUAUUAA